UGUCAGUUCUUUUCUGAACAUUGCUCUUUUGAUAGAAAAGUCCUGAAGGCCUCAUCCUUCAACCAUUCCCACAGGUUCUGUCACUGUGCUGUCACAAUUACGUUUUGGGAAGGCAAAGGGACUCUGGUGUAGAGAUUAGAUUCUGGCAUCAUUUUUUCUGGAUUUAAAAAUUACUAGGUAUCAGGUCUUUGCUUUGAGAAGUCAUUUGUAAUAGAGAUAACUAAUUUGGUUGGUCAAAGUGAGUCAUUUUUGAAAAAAUGAUUGAUAAAUUGUCUCAGAAGAGCUUGCAUUUUACAUGAAGAAUCCUGAAUAUUCAGCAGCCUACUGUGGUGAGAAAGGCAGACUUUGGGGUUUAGAAUCAGACAGACUUGGAUUUGAAUCUCAACUCUGCCUUUUACCAGGGGCACAAUUUCCUUAUGAAACUCAUGGAGUGGGGCUGGAUCAGCAAUUAGCUCCUUUCUACCUGGAAAAUCAUGGAAUGCUAUGUCUUUUGUGGAUCCAUACAAUUCUUUAAUAUCAAAUCAAGGAGUGGAAAGUGCCAGGGCAGAUUUCUGCAUGAACUUACCUGUCAGGUGGACAAAGAAUUCUCUGUGCAUCCUUUAAGGCCCAGACGUAGCACUACCUCUUCAUGAUCCAUGUUGAUAAACAGAACUCCCAUGCCAAGAAUAGUGCAUUGGGUGAGAGGAUUUCAUGGAGGCAUCUUUUUGGAUUCCACAACGAGGGCCAAGCAGCAUAAAGUCAAGAGGUUGCAUGCCAGUUUCUUAAAUGGUCACUGGGAAACUGUAAGAUCCUGUUUAUUCACUAAAUAUAGUUCUUAAGAACAUUAAUCUAAGCCUGAAAGAUGAAUACAUCUGGGUCCACUGCUCCCUUGCGGUGCUAUUUAGUUACUCUGUCACUUAAAAAUGGCUCAGGCAAUGAAGUUCAAAGACUCCUUCUCUUUCCACUCCCACCCCUUUAUACAUCAUAUAAUCUAGCAAUGUCAUGAUUUUUUGACUGACUUGUGGCUCAUUUGUGUUGAAUAACCAGGUACCGAUUAUCUAGUUUCCUGUCUCCACAGGAAAUCACACCUUCUGGAAAAAUCAAUUUGUUCAAUAUCUUUUAGUCAUUUAUAAUCAGAUUAAGAAAUAAAAUAGAUUUUUGGUAAAGACUCAAUAAUUCUUAUUUUAUUAAUCUGAAACCCAGGUAUUCCCAUAAAACUGCUAAGCAAUGAUAUCCAUUUCCUAGGAAAGAAUUAACCAAUUUUCUGAAAUGUUCUACAAGAUCAGUAGCAUAAUACUACCAACAUUAUCUUAACUAAUUGAAGCUAGAUUGCACCUGUCAAAAUAAAUUAAUAAAAUAUAUUUGAGAAUGCAGUUUCUAUGAUUUCUAAUGUACAUAUUCAUUGAAUUUCUAAUUUACAUGUUUUGAUAACCCACUAUGGACCUCUCAGGGUCUCACUUCUAGUUGUCAAAGUUCCUGUGGAGAUCAUUAAACACAAGUUUGCUUUCUAUUUUGAACUUAAUAAAACCUGUUAGUCCUCUUUGUUCAAAGGAGGCUUUCAUUCAAUUCCAUUACUUCUUGUUUUUUCUAUUUAGUGUUGCAAAAUAAUUGUAAUAUGCUUAGGUGUGAUUAUACCUCAUUAGGACAAGUUCUUUUUUAUCAUUUAUAUAGUUAGGUAGGUAUCUCAACAAAAUGAAGCAGGCAUGUGAUAACCCCCAUAAAGAAGAAGAAAUCCCAUAACAGGUACAUAUUGCAUUUCUUAAGAAUUACAUUUUCUUCUACUGAGUGUAAGCUCCAUGAGGAUAGCAGCUGUUUUUAGCUUGUUCAUGACUGUAUACCAUUGCCUUGUCCAGUGCUGGAUAUAAUAAGUGCUCAGAAAAAUUAUCAAAUAAAUGACGUUGUUAACCUUG
rnacentral:lncRNA from 1 species